GGUGGCAUAGCCAAGUGGUAAGGCCAAGGUCUGCAAAACCUUUAUCACCGGUUCAAAUCCGGUUGCCACCUCCA
rnacentral:tRNA from 7 species